ACGCCGGUGGUGUAAGGCGUAGCAUCGCUGCCCGGGAAACAGAAGGUGCGGGUUCGAGUCCCGCCUGACGCA
rfam:Heligmosomoides polygyrus genome assembly, scaffold: HPBE_scaffold0002716